GACGUAGGGUGCAAGCGUUACUCGGAAUUACUGGGCGUAAAGCGUGCGCAGGCGGCUUUGUAAGACGGAUGUGAAAUCCCCGGGCUCAACCUGGGAACUGCAUUCGUGACUGCAAGGCUAGAGUGUGUCAGAGGGAGGUGGAAUUCCGCGUGUAGCAGUGAAAUGCGUAGAGAUGCGGAGGAACACCGAUGGCGAAGGCAGCCUCCUGGGAUAACACUGACGCUCAUGCACGAAAGCGUGGGGAGCAAACAGG
rnacentral:rRNA from 1 species